rnacentral:lncRNA from 1 species
CAGACUUUUUGUGACUUUGACCAGCAGAAAACCUUGGCUGACAUACUCAAGGCUGAAAUGCAGUCAGCGGAAAUGGAAACACUUCAACUCUGCCCCUGUGGCAAGAAUGGCUUCCCUUCAGACAAUCUGGUCAGAUUCUUUAUGGACCCAAUGGGAGAAAUUGGAUGCUUGUAUAUACCUCUCAGCAUCUUUGAAGGGGCACUGAAACUUCAAUCAAAUUUGGAAAAGGGAGCGCUGAACUUUAGACCUGCUUUAAAUGUGCAGAGGUAGGAUUGAGACUUUCUUUCCUUUCUAAAAUACCUCUCAUGAUUCUUAACUACUUUUAUAGAGUCCUUGAGCCUUGAGUCUCAGC